rnacentral:rRNA from 1 species
UGGGGAAUUUUGGACAAUGGGCGAAAGCCUGAUCCAGCAAUGCCGCGUGUGUGAAGAAGGCCUUCGGGUUGUAAAGCACUUUUGUCCGGAAAGAAAUCCUUGGCUCUAAUACAGUCGGGGGAUGACGGUACCGGAAGAAUAAGCACCGGCUAACUACGUGCCAGCAGCCGCGGUAAUACGUAGGGUGCAAGCGUUAAUCGGAAUUACUGGGCGUAAAGCGUGCGCAGGCGGUUUGCUAAGACCGAUGUGAAAUCCCCGGGCUCAACCUGGGAACUGCAUUGGUGACUGGCAGGCUAGAGUAUGGCAGAGGGGGGUAGAAUUCCACGUGUAGCAGUGAAAUGCGUAGAGAUGUGGAGGAAUACCGAUGGCGAAGGCAGCCCCCUGGGCCAAUACUGACGCUCAUGCACGAAAAAGCGUGGGGGAGCAAAACAGGAUUAGAUACCCCUGGUAGUCCACGCCCUAAACGAUGUCAACUAGUUGUUGGGGAUUCAUUUCCUUAGUAACGUAGCUAACGCGUGAAGUUGACCGCCUGGGGAGU